rnacentral:tRNA from 1 species
UUAAGAGUAAGCUAAACUUAAGCUGUUGGAUUCAUACUCCAAAAAUGUUAAUCCUCUUAGC